UACGAAGGGGGCUAGCGUUGCUCGGAAUCACUGGGCGUAAAGCGCGCGUAGGCGGACUCUUAAGUCGGGGGUGAAAUCCUGGAGCUCAACUCCAGAACUGCCUUCGAUACUGAGAGUCUUGAGUCCGAGAGAGGUGAGUGGAACUGCGAGUGUAGAGGUGAAACUCGUAGAUAUUCGCAAGAACACCAGUGGCGAAGGCGGCUCACUGGCUCGGUACUGACGCUGAGGUGCGAAAGCGUGGGGAGCAAACAGG
rnacentral:rRNA from 1 species